AAUGAUAUUUUAUGAUCCUAAAAAGUUCUGAGUAGCUCAUAGAAGAAGAUCAAAGCAGUUGCUAUCCUAUGACAUUAUUUUAACAGUCUCAAAUUGAUUUAUACGUCACAACUUUAACAUAUCGAAUGAAGUUAGAAUGGAAGUGUCGUUAUAAUAAUAUUAUUAAUGAAAUAUAACCAACACAUAAUGUGCAUUACAAUAAUAUAAUAUCCAACACCAUAAGCAAUGUAUAUUUUUGAUGAAUUGUGUAAUAACAUGCAUAUAAACCCAGACACAAAUAUAUAAACAAAAGUUGCAAUUUUUGAUUUAUUUUGCCGACAAAACGACUGGUUAAUGCGUACUGAGUAUGCAGAUUAUGUGCGAGAUCUACUAUACAGUAUAGUAUACGGUCCUUUGUAGAUUACGCAAUCAUCUCAUACUCGGGGGCUUGAAGGUGAAUUCACAUUAACCACACAUUAAAUUGCAAUUUUCGUCCCAUCCAAAACCGAAUUGAGGCCAAACGAGUGUACUUUUAUGAGUUGUGAGUCGUUUUUAGUAUUAUGAUGACGAAAAAUUUGAAGUUAAAGUGCGCGACCGCGACAUUAAAGGUGGACUUUCAAGUCGAUCGACUGUGACGUGUGACUCCGCGACAGAGGAGCAAGUUAAUGUAUUGUGCAAAUGUAGGGAACGAUAUUCAAGCGUGUGACACUGACGCCUAUACGGCGACGUCAGUGCAAUACAAAAACAACCAAAACGUCAAACGUAAAACGUUGUGCCCCAAAAAUUUAAUCAAGAUUAUUUGGUGGUUGUGAAACAAGCUCUUAGGUUUUAUUUAAUUCUAUGGAGCGCACUUUGACUUUGCUUAGACUUAGUUUCAGUUAAAACGAGACAGAUUUAUGUCAGAGGCAUAACGCUGUCUCGUUUUAAUAGUGUCUUAAGUCUGAGCACAGUCAAGCGCUCUAUACAUCUCAGCCUAAAUAUAGCUAUCAACUUUGCUU